GGGCCGCUAGCUCAAAGGGAGAGCCCCCGGUUUGCACCCGGAAGAUGCCGGUUCGAGCCCGGCGUGGUCCA
rnacentral:tRNA from 1 species